GUUUAAUAUAUUUUUGUUGUUGUUUUGUAUAUUUUUGUUGUUAUGUGUGAUUUUGGAGUCAUUUUGUGUAUUUGACUCAAAUUUUGUGUGUUUUUGGAGUCAUUUUGAGUAUUUAUUUGUCAUUUAGUUUAUUAAUGUUUACAUUUGUCUUUGUUUUUAGAUGGAUGUACUGUAUGUAUGAUAUACAAAUAUUUAAUUUUACAUUCAUUUUGUGUAUUUUUGUUGUCCUUUUGACUAUUUUUCUGUAUUUUGCAUGUUUAUUUGAGGGGGCCGCACAUAAUUAAAACAAGGACCGCAUUUGGCCCCCGGGCCGCCGAAUUCCUAUGUCUGCUUUAGGAUGUCUGUUUAUGAUUGUCGAUUUCAGAUGAUAGAGAAAACUUUGGUUGGCCACAAGAUGAGUUUUGGUGUUCCCCUUUGCAGGAUGAUGAUGAUGAUGAUGAUGGUAAUGGUGACAUGUACGAACCGCCUCCCUGUGGGCCAGCAGUCAAAGUGCGUGAGAGACCAGUGGAGGAGAACGUCUAUCUGGAUAAGCAGUCCAGUCCUACUGUUCUACAGAGACAGGCCAUCCCACCACACAGAAGCUACAAACCAGUAACAAAAACUGUAUGUCAUAGAAGUUAGAUUUUUUUUUUUUUUUUUCAAAUAUUAUCGUUGGGCUUGUAUGUGUAACAUCAAGUGUUUUUAACUAUAAUAAUUAAUCCAGAAAACUCAACAAUGUGGCCCUUUAUUCUUCGACACAAACACCAGGAAACGUGAGUGUGUAUUCAGCUCCUGCAUGUCUUCUUCUGUGGUUUAAUCAUUCACAUCUCUGCGUCUAACUAACCUUUCCUUUUAACAUUCUUCCUUUAAGCUCCUGAGAUUGACAGAAAGGAGAAACCUGGGAGAAAGGCAGCAAUGUUUCCUCCUGCUGCAGCAUCACUUCCUCCAUCCAUUGAGGAAGGUGCAGUGAUUUCAUUAAACUAACUCCUCAGCUGCAAAAACAGACCAAUGGUACCACAGCAAGACUCCAAAUUUCACCAUUAAAUCAACCACACGUGAUACAGAUUUACAACUUCCACCAAAAAGUAGCCCCAAAACUGAAGACACUUUUGUACAUUUAAACCUAUUGUGAAUUAUGAAGUCCAUAACUCUGACUUUUUUUCCCCCAAAUACAUAAUAAACCAAUUUCCUCCCACA
rnacentral:lncRNA from 1 species